AGGGCAUAAAUCAAUGGCAUAAUAGCACAUAGCAUCAUGAGUAGAUUUUGUAUUCAUUUUUUCCUUCUUUAGAAUAUAAUUCCAUCCACUAAGUUCACAUGAGCAGCAGAAAACUCAAUGGUGAGAAAGGAGUUAGCUUAUAUGAUAAGGAUAUCUAAAGAAAAUUUUGUCUAAUUAUGUCCUGACUCCCCACGGCAACGGCAUAACAAUUUGAAUCAUCUAAGAAAUAACAACUGCGAGGGAAGCAUUUGGAACACUGAAUUUUGAAG